rnacentral:sRNA from 1 species
GACAACAUUUGUAUUUGUAGUCGGUGGGUCUCGCGCUUUCGAUCUCUCGGACAAUCGGAAUUAAAACGGUCUUGAAAACGCGAAACCCGUAGUGGACGCAAGCCUUACAGAUAUUUCUAAAAAUCGGAGAAAAAUCAAGGAAGAAACCCUGUAAAGCGCAUUAAAACCCUAUAAAAACCUUUUAUAGCAGUGCCAAAUGAAAUCAUAAAAUUAAAAACUCACAUGUGCCCGGUUCGGUUUCGGCCUCUCUCCCACCUGAUCCCGUUAGUUGUGUAGACUGCACUCGCGGGCGCUCUUUACCGUUCUCUCGCACACUCUCUCUUCCUCUCUUUGCGAACUGCCGGCUGCAUACGUUUCAAAAUUUGCAAAAAAAAAAGCUUUACGUUUCACAUUACGUAGUAAAAAGGCAUUCCCACACACAAACAAAUCGAACAAUACAUGUGCGAUUAUUCGUAUUAUGAUUAUAUUCACGUACAUAUUUUUGUAGAAUAAAUAUUUAUUGUGCAUUCGCCUUUGGUCGCGUUAUUCGCGUGUGUUUGCUCUCGCGCUCAAUUGUUUACUCCGCUCUCAAUGAUUUCAGUUCUCCUUUUUUAGCAACUAACACAACAAAUAAAACAAAACUCCACGUGCUGAUAAACAUUAAUGAAAAGGAGAAAUAACCAAAUAUAAUCUGCCUACUUAUCGCAACGAUUGCGUCCCACAAUAAAAAUAUAAUACACUUUGUUGUCAUUCAUUAAUUACUCGUUAUUUCUAAUUUUCUCUAAUUUGAUUUUGGGUAAAAUGUUACCGUUUUUUGUAUGAAUUUAAUUCCGUCACGUCGUCUACUACAAUUUGUCAACUUUAAAGCGAAAAAACAAAUCGAAAUCAUCUAGGCUUGGUUCCCUGGAAUAAUUAACCAGCAGUCCUUCGAUCAAGGUAAGCCAAGUCGUGACAAUGUAAUGCUGCCCAGCAAAUAUUCAAAAAAUAAAAACAAAACACGAAAUAAAAGUAAAGCCAACAAAUGAA